rnacentral:rRNA from 1 species
UACGAAGGGUGCAAGCGUUACUCGGAAUCACUGGGCGUAAAGCGUGCGUAGGCGGUUGGUUAAGUCUGCUGUGAAAGCCCUGGGCUCAACCUGGGAACUGCAGUGGAUACUGGCCAGCUAGAGUGUGAUAGAGGAUGGUGGAAUUCCCGGUGUAGCGGUGAAAUGCGUAGAGAUCGGGAGGAACACCAGUGGCGAAGGCGGAUCUCUGGGCCAUUACUGACGCUGAGGAGCGAAAGCGUGGGGAGCGAACAGG